rnacentral:rRNA from 1 species
GUGAAGUCGGAAUCGCUAGUAAUCGUGAAUCAGAAUGUCACGGUGAAUACGUUCCCGGGCCUUGUACACACCGCCCGUCACACCAUGGGAGUGGGUUGCUCCAGAAGUAGCUAGUCUAACCGCAAGGGGGACGGUUACCACGGAGUGAUUCAUGACUGGGGUGAAGUCGUAACAAGGUAGCCGUAGGGGAACCUGCGGCUGGAUCACCUCCUUAAU